GUGGGGAAUCUUGCGCAAUGGGCGAAAGCCUGACGCAGCCAUGCCGCGUGAAUGAUGAAGGUCUUAGGAUUGUAAAAUUCUUUCACCGGGGACGAUAAUGACGGUACCCGGAGAAGAAGCUCCGGCUAACUUCGUGCCAGCAGCCGCGGUAAUACGAAGGGGGCUAGCGUUGCUCGGAAUUACUGGGCGUAAAGGGCGCGUAGGUGGACAGCUUAGUCAGAGGUGAAAGCCCAGGGCUCAACCUUGGAAUUGCCUUUGAUACUGGCUGUCUUGAGUUUGGGAGAGGUGAGUGGAACUCCUAGUGUAGAGGUGGAAUUCGUAGAUAUUAGGAAGAACACCAGUGGCGAAGGCGGCUCACUGGUCUGGUACUGACGCUGAGGUGCGAAAGCGUGGGGAGCAAACAGGAUUAGAAACCCUGGUAGUCC
rnacentral:rRNA from 1 species